rnacentral:rRNA from 1 species
UCUAUCAUGCAGUCGAGCGGACAGAUGGGAGCUUGCUCCCUGAUGUUAGCGGCGGACGGGUUGAGUAACACGUGGGUAACCUGCCUGUAAGACUGGGAUAACUCCGGGAAACCGGGGCUAAUACCGGAUGGUUGUUUGAAUCGCAUGGUUCAAACAUAAAAGGUGGCUUCGGCUACCACUUACAGAUGGACCCGCGGCGCAUUAGCUAGUUGGUGAGGUAACGGCUCACCAAGGCGACGAUGCGUAGCCGACCUGAGAGGGUGAUCGGCCACACUGGGACUGAGACACGGCCCAGACUCCUACGGGAGGCAGCAGUAGGGAAUCUUCCGCAAUGGACGAAAGUCUGACGGAGCAACGCCGCGUGAGUGAUGAAGGUUUUCGGAUCGUAAAGCUCUGUUGUUAGGGAAGAACAAGUACCGUUCGAAUAGGGCGGUACCUUGACGGUACCUAACCAGAAAGCCACGGCUAACUACGUGCCAGCAGCCGCGGUAAUACGUAGGUGGCAAGCGUUGUCCGGAAUUAUUGGGCGUAAAGGGCUCGCAGGCGGUUUCUUAAGUCUGAUGUGAAAGCCCCCGGCUCAACCGGGGAGGGUCAUUGGAAACUGGGGAACUUGAGUGCAGAAGAGGAGAGUGGAAUUUCCACGUGUAGCGGUGAAAUGCGUAGAGAUGUGGAGGAACACCAGUGGCGAAGGCGACUCUCUGGUCUGUAACUGACGCUGAGAGCGAAAGCGGUGGGGGAGGCGAACAGGAUUAGAUACCCUGGUAGUCCACCGCCGUAAACGAUGAGUGCUAAGUGUUAGGGGGUUCCGCCCCUUAGUGCUGCAGCUAACGCAUUAAGC